GCUUGUUGCUGGGCUCAAAGUGCCAGAGCAACUGAGAAUUGAUUGCAAAAGUCUUGUAGAUGCAAAGGAGCACUUAAGACAACCCUGGAUUGGAAGCAGUUGGUCCAUUCGAAGUGGGGACUCAACGCAACCAAUUCAGAAACAAGCAGAUAUCUCCAAGUCAAUGGCUGCACGAAGUGCAGUAGUUGAAAAUUAGGUCAUAGUGAUCGUUUUAUCGAGUCUUGAGUUGUGUAAAAGGAAAAAAGAAAAAAAGAA
rnacentral:misc_RNA from 1 species